rnacentral:tRNA from 1 species
GGCCUCGUAGCUCAGCUGGUAGACGCGCGUAAAAAGCGUGGGCGGUGUCCAUGCGUGCGUUCGAAUCCCACCGAGGCUACUGAACUUAGCUACAGCGGUGUCCAUGCGUGGGUUCGAAUCCCACCGAGGCUA